UUUAAUUUCCAGAACGGGAACCAUUUGUGAGACUGUAAUGGGUGUGAGAAACUACGUGGGAUGGAAAUUACUUUCAACGCUGAAGACCUCCGUUCUCCAUGCAUAAGCCGACUGUAGGCUGGCGAAGAUCUGGCUCUCGAUGGCCUGCACCCACAGCUCCCGCUCCUCAUACGUGGAGGCCUCGAAGUGCCACAUCUGCCCCGUCAAUGAGACGAUGUUGAACUCAAACGACUCCUCUUGCUCUGGAAGACAAAGCAAGUCCUGAUUAUGUGGGGAAACAAAAGUUGUGGCCUGCGCACAGAUCUGCCGGCAGACGACUGAGGCAACCCUGGCCCGAGUUAACGGCAUUCGCAGACGACGGUGCCCGUCUCAGCAAGCACCUGUCAAAUACUUGACAAGAGCGAACAGUGGAAUGGAAGAAGGUCAAGAGCAUAAGCAAGAUGCAUGCAGUCCUGGAGAGGGGAGGCGGAGUCAUCUUUGGGGAGCAGCAUGGGCACAGCGGGACAGCGUAGCAUCGCGGGGUGGAGGACGCCCAAGUUCUCUCACCGCUCCAGGGUACCUGCACCAGGAGGGCGGCCGGAGAGAUGCCCGUGCCGGCCCGUCCCUUUACUUUAUUUCACACAA